CCUACGGGUGGCUGCAGUGGGGAAUAUUGGACAAUGGGGGGAACCCUGAUCCAGCCAUGCCGCGUGUGUGAAGAAGGCCCUCGGGUUGUAAAGCACUUUCAGUGAGGAAGAACGCCUGGUGGUUAAUACCCAUCAGGAAAGACAUCACUCACAGAAGAAGCACCGGCUAACUCCGUGCCAGCAGCCGCGGUAAUACGGAGGGUGCGAGCGUUAAUCGGAAUUACUGGCGUAAAGCGCGCGUAGGUGGCUUGAUAAGCCGGUUGUGAAAGCCCCGGGCUCAACCUGGGAACGGCAUCCGGAACUGUCAAGCUAGAGUGCAGGAGAGGAAGGUAGAAUUCCCGGUGUAGCGGUGAAAUGCGUAGAGAUCGGGAGGAAUACCAGUGGCGAAGGCGGCCUUCUGGACUGACACUGACACUGAGGUGCGAAAGCGUGGGUAGCAAACAGGAUUAGAUACCCCUGUAGUC
rnacentral:rRNA from 1 species